UGUAAUACUGAGUACAUAUCACAAACAAACAUAGAAUGUGGCAUUCACAAAUAAGAAGAAACAACUGAAAAAUAAUUUGAAAGAGAAAAAGAGAGAGAGGAGAGAGAAACCAGCUCCUGUAGAAGCAGCUCCCUCAAUAAGAGUGAGGCCAACCAUGACAGGUUGGGGUAAAGAAGAAGGCUUUGUACUCGAAACUGAGACAGCACCAUUUUCUAAGAAGGAAAGCAUAGAGUGUGUGUCAGAUCCAGAGGAAAUAACCCCAGAAACUAAGCAUGCAAAUCCAACGGCUAACAAAACCAGCUUCAUUGUAGUCUUGUUUGUCAUAUUCAACUUUCACAACUAAAACUACAACAACUACUGCUAAAUCUCUCUAUUGCUUUGUCUCUGCACAAUUAACAAGGACCAUUCAUCGUUUCUCAACUCUUUUGAGAGAAGCCAAGCUUAUCUUACUGCUUAAAAGCCAAAGUCUAGAAACACACACUGACUUUAGUGCACAACUUGUCCUCAUAUGUUGUUCUCUUUUUUCAUAAAAUCAAAACAUUACACUUUAAUAUGUUGUCGUAAAAACUACUCCACCUCUUCAUUAUGAUUUAUGAACACAUUCAUAGUGCUUUUCUUUAUACUAUUUCCCUUAUUUUAGUGAUUUUGAUAGGGACUUUACCAACCUUUAAGGCACGGAUAAAUCAAACGAAUCAAUUUAUGUUUACUAGUAUUAUUACUAAUAGAUGUGUUCCCAUCGAUAACUCUUACUUACCCAAAAGGUAUAAUUGAAAGCACUAACUGAGCCAAUCACGUUAAAAUGUGGCUUUUAGAGGUAUCAAAUUUCCCUGUUGAUAAUUAUAUCAUAAAUUUUAUUUUUAUUCAUCACUUUAGUCUCACGUUAUUAAAGUAUGAAUAAUUCCAAUGAAUCAUCUAGAUAAUCUUUAUAAUCACUUGAGGGAAAAAUAUUACAUACAAAUUAAGAAUUUUAUAAUAUUAAUUUUUUUAUUUUAUUCCAUUUUUUCAUGUUUUGAGUUUCCAAAAGGACGUUAUUAUAAUUUAUUUCAUGUACAAUUGACAUUAAGUGCAACUAUGAAUGGUUAGAGACCCUAGUAAUGUCAAGUGUUAUAGUAAUUAAUUAACAUUUCUAUUUCAACUCUUUCUUUAUUCAGUGGACCCAAGGGGGAAAAGGAUCUGAUGCUCUAGUUUGCUCUGUCCACUUAUUACGGCAUUGAUUCUUUGCAAAAGUUGCACUGCAUUCUUUUCUUCUUCUUUUUCUUUGGUAUACAAGUUACAGAAUUUACAUUGCAUUCUACCCUAAGGAACCAAACAUAGGUUGAGUGAAAGUUGGCUUUAGUAUUUGGAACUUCUUGGAUAUUGUAAAUUAGUUUUUAUGAAUUUGUAAUUUGAAAAUUUGGUUUUAAAAUCUAGCCUUUGGGAUCAAUAGAGUUAAUUAUGUGUGUUGCAGAUUCAAUAUUUUAAGAAUCAUGUUUGCAAUAACAUUUCAAAAGUGAUUAUAUUUUAGACUUCAUUUGUUUAAGCUUUUUUCUGACCACAUGUAAGCAUAUACUAGAAAGGGAUAAAACUUUGUUCAAGUUACCAUGGAAGGAAUGUGAAUAAUCAAUCAAUAUUAACUGCUGAGCAUUAAAAUCUUGUCUCAUAAGAGAUGUAAAUUUUACUCUAGAUUUUGUUUAGGAAUAGAGAAAGUAUGGUUCGUGUAGUCAUGAUGCAUAUUCUAUUCAGAUAUCAGGUUUGAAAAACAUACAUUAUUACCUUAUAGAAUCAAUGACUUGUCAAUAACAGAAUGUUAACUAAUGUUGAAUUGACUCACCGGGGAAAAAUUAUGAACAUUAACAGCGAUCUCAGCUAAUCCAACCUGCAAUAAAGCACGCAGGCAUGAUGAAUGGAUAUUCAUAUUUCAAAUUGAGGACAGCAGAAUAAAACAUUUCAAAGAAUCAAUAACCUUUCAAAUAAUCUUUAAGAAUCAAUAACCUUUCAAUAUUAUUACAAUAUUAUGAAGAAUCAAUAACCUUUCAAAGAAUACAUCUGGAUAAAACUCUAUAAGCAACUAUAAGUUACAAAUGGGGAAAGGGGUAACUGUCCCCAACAAAAACUCUAUUUGAGGAACAAAAUGAAAUAUUCCUGUUCAGGAGCUUGGACACAAACUAGCACCCUAAAGGUUAUUCUAAUUGGGGGAAAAUAUCAAUAGGAGAAGAAAAAAGGCUAUAGACAGUCACUUGAUAACACCUCAUUUACUUCUUCACCAAACUUAUGAUGCUUGUACACUUCAAGCAAUAGGUCUCUACAAGGAACAACAGCUCCAAUUACUCAAACAAGCAUAAGCUGUCUAUAUUACAUGUAUUGUAUAAUUUAGAAAGCAUACAUAGAUCCAUACAAAUAUUAAAUAUUUAGUCAGGAAUAAAUCCAAACAAUAUCCAUCGCAGGAGGUACAAUCAAGGGAUGUUCAUGUGGAAUAUGGAGCAUUUGAGAUAAAGAGCUAACAGGUUAAUCUUCUUCUGAAAUUCCCCCAUUAUAGCACCCCACAAAUUAGAAUUGUUACUAAAGGCUAACAAGUAAAUAAUUUGGAGGAGAAAAGCAAGGCAACUCUAGCAAAUAAUAAGGCAAGAUGAAGAGAGAGGUUAAAGGACCAACCUCUCAAAUGCUGUGCAUACAAUUUUAAAAGGAGAAACAUGAUAUGGAUGAGCUACCAAAUGUGGUAUUUUAUGUAAUAUCACAAAGGGUAUAUUAAUAUGUAAGAUUCUCAUCUAAUGAAAGUGGGCCAUAAAAUUUAUGCUUAGUGCUUACAUCCUCAACAAAGAAUGUAAUGUGAAUUGUGUAAUACUGAGUACAUAUCACAAACAAACAUAGAAUGUGGCAUUCACAAAUAAGAAGAAACAACUGAAAAAUAAUUUGAAAGAGAAAAAGAGAGAGAGGAGAGAGAAACCAGCUCCUGUAGAAGCAGCUCCCUCAAUAAGAGUGAGGCCAACCAUGACAGGUUGGGGUAAAGAAGAAGGCUUUGUACUCGAAACUGAGACAGCACCAUUUUCUAAGAAGGAAAGCAUAGAGUGUGUGUCAGAUCCAGAGGAAAUAACCCC
rnacentral:lncRNA from 1 species